GGGGGGAGCACCGGAUCCUGGGCUGUGUCCCCGGUGCCCAGUGCUCCUGGCCCGGCGUUGCUGGAAUCAUGCUCCCAGCCGGGCAGCGCCCC
rnacentral:pre_miRNA from 1 species